rnacentral:rRNA from 1 species
GAUGAACGCUGGCGGCGUGCUUAACACAUGCAAGUCGAACGGUGAAGGCGGAGCUUGCUCUGCUGGAUCAGUGGCGAACGGGUGAGUAACACGUGAGCAAUCUGCCCCUGACUCUGGGAUAAGCGCUGGAAACGGCGUCUAAUACUGGAUACGAGCUGCGAAGGCAUCUUCAGCAGCUGGAAAGAAUUUCGGUCAGGGAUGAGCUCGCGGCCUAUCAGCUUGUUGGUGAGGUAAUGGCUCACCAAGGCGUCGACGGGUAACCGGCCUGAGAGGGUGACCGGCCACACUGGGACUGAGACACGGCCCAGACUCCUACGGGAGGCAGCAGUGGGGAAUAUUGAACAAUGGGCGAAAGCCUGAUGCAGCAACGCCGCGUGGGGGACGACGGCCUUCGGGUUGUAAACCUCUUUAGCAGGGAAGAAGCGAAAGUGACGGUACCUGCAGAAAAAGCGCCGGCUAACUACGUG